CAUAGUGAGGCUCUAAAUUCUACAUUAUCUUUGUGGUUGAGAAAUUCCUACAUAUUGCCAUUGGCACAUCCUUUGAUCAUCUAAAUAGAGAUCCAAGUUUUGGCAAGCCUUAGAGUGAUUUCCUAUUCCAGAUGAAGAAGAUGUGAUGAUUUUGCUUGGGAGAUACUUACAUAUUCAUAAAAGAUCUGCCCUACAAGAAAGGCUAAAAGAUUUGCUUUGGGAAGAAGGAAAUAAUGCCAGAAACAUUUAUAUCCCCCAAGACAGGUAAGUGACAAAGAAUUAAAAAAUGAGAAAUAUAUCUAAAGAUAAUUACUUAUUGUAAUAGUAAUAGGUGUCUGGCAGUGUGUUCAAUGUUGUGGUACUUAUUUGGCACAGAGAGGUUGCUUUUCAAUCACCAGCAUGUGAGAAGUAAUAGUAAUGAUGUACUUGGAGUCUGAAAGAUAUCUAGAAAUAAUAAUAGCCAGAGCAUAAGAAACGGACAAAAAGAUUUGGAAAGAAGGGUAAUUCGUUGUGAGUGGUCUGUUGUGAGGUGAAAUGGUAUUUUACUAUUUAAAGUGUACUGCAAAUUCCAAGUAAAACACUAAACAUUUUUGCUUCAUUUUUCACCAUUCUCCUGUGGAAUUGAAGAUUAACUUGAGAGCUUAUUGGACAGGUCAAGGAUAUGAAAACAAGGCCUAUAGAGUCAAAUAACCUGUGCUCACGGGAGUUCAAGAGACUGGACCUCCAACCAAAGAGCAUGCAAGGCCAGGACCUAGGCCCCCUACACAUUUGUAGCAGAUGUGUAUCUUGGUUUUCAUGUUGGUCCCCUAACAAUUGGAGUCAGGACUGUCUGUGAUUCUGUUUCCUGCCAUUGUCUCCUCUUACACUAUCUGGACUGUCUGGUAGGGCCUCAGUGAGAGAAGAUGUGCUUACAGUUAAUUGGGCUAGAUGUCCCAGGGUGGGCAAGUAUCCAAGGGGGUUUCCCCUUCUCUGAGGUGAAGGGUAUUGGGUAAUAGUGGGAAGGCUCUUUCAAGGGUAGACCUGGGAUGAGGUCUGCCCUCAGAUGUAAAGUGAAUAGAAAAAAAAAGAAAUUAUUGAAAAAUAAUACAGGGCCUUUAUAAGUUAUAUAAGCAAUCAACUACUGACCUAGAGCCCCAACCUUUACCAUCUUUAAAGAAGUAUAAUUAAGAGAGAACAGAAAAAGAAGAAAGAAAAAAAGAAAGGCAAGAUACUGUCAAUGAUUGAAAAAGAGAGAACAAGGCAGAUAUUCACUUUCAUGUAAACAAUAAUAAUCUUAAGUUUUGACUAUUUAAAUAUGAGAGUGUAAAUGUAGAAAUUUUCAAAGCGAAUAAAUGAGGAAGACUCGACUACGUAAUACCCGCAGUCAGGCCAUGUUGUAUGUUAAUGUUCCAUUACUUUAAAAUAAAUACGUGGAAACAGUUAGAUUGUACCAACUCUAACAAAAAGAAAGUUGAAAUCGCUAUGUUAAUUUUAGAGACUGGAACUA